UACAGAGGUCUCAAGCGUUGUUCGGAUUCAUUGGGCGUAAAGGGUGCGUAGGUGGCGCGCUAAGUCAGGUGUGAAAUUUCGGAGCUUAACUCCGAAACUGCAUUUGAUACUGGCGUUGCUUGAGGACUGGAGAGGAGACUGGAAUUCAUGGUGUAGCAGUGAAAUGCGUAGAGAUCAUGAGGAAGACCAGUGGCGAAGGCGGGUCUCUGGACAGUUCCUGACACUGAGGCACGAAGGCCAGGGGGAGCAAACGGGG
rnacentral:rRNA from 1 species